GAUGAAGAACGUAGCGAAAUGCGAUACGUAAUGUGAAUUGCAAAUUCAGUGAAUCAUCGAGUCUUUGAACGCACAUUGCGCCCCCUGGUAUUCCGGGGGGCAUGCCUGUCCGAGCGUCAUUGCUGCCCUCAAGCACGGCUUGUGUGUUGGGCCCCGUCCUCCGAUCCCGGGGGACGGGCCCGAAAGGCAGCGGCGGCACCGCGUCCGGUCCUCGAGCGUAUGGGGCUUUGUCACCCGCUCUGUAGGCCCGGCCGGCGCUUGCCGAUCAACCCAAAUUUUUUAUCCAGGUUGACCUCGGAUCAGGUAGGGAUACCCGCUGAACUUAAGCAUAUCAAUAACCGGAGGA
rnacentral:misc_RNA from 1 species